GAGAGAGAGAGAGAGAGAGAGAGAGAGAGAGAGAGAGAGUAAAAGAGGGGAGGAGCACAGCAGCUGAGCUGAUCUUAAAGUCGUAGCGGCAGCUUACGUGUUUGCAGAAAAGCGGGGAAAAAAGGCCACAAGGAGAACAAGAAUGCCGGACAAUCCAUCGGCACACAUCCUCACCAAAUGCGUCGAGGGCAACGCACACUCGUAAAUGACUUUAUUGCUCAAAUCGAAGUCGACCACGGGUCAGAUUGCAUGACGCGAUGCCCAAAAGUUGGCUGUCGGUGGACAGACCAAAAGCCAACGAGAUUGAACCAACAACCAAUCCAAAAAGCGCACAUCCCACCGGCAGGACCCGACCCCGGAUAAGAGCUCAAGAAUGGAUGGAUGGAUGGUAAGAAGACGGAGUCUGCUGGUUCUUACUCUGAUUCACUGGAGAGAUAUGAUGCAUUUUUGUGGCCGAAUGGCACCUUGAGAUCCGAAUGACUCAGUCGACAAGGUUUUUUUUUUGUUU